rnacentral:hammerhead_ribozyme from 1 species
AUCCAGCUGACGAGUUCCAAAUCGGAUGAAACGCGCGUCCUGGAU